CUGAUUUCUGCCUAGGUAGGUUGAGUCUUUCGGGACUCCUUACCAAAGCGAAUACACCACUUGUGCACUAUAAAUGUCUUUUGGGUCAUUUUGGGAAGUCAUCUUAUAGAUGACAACCAAGGGGCCCAGCUUUUUAUAAACCAAUUAAAUUUUUUGUCUGAAAUAAAUCUAGUAAUAGAAA
rnacentral:misc_RNA from 1 species